AUACGUAGGGGGCGAGCGUUGUCCGGAUUUACUGGGCGUAAAGGGUGAGUAGGCGGUUGUAUAAGUCAGAUGUAAAAGGCACAGGCUUAACUUGUGUAAGCAUUUGAAACUGUACAACUUGAGUGCAGGAGAGGUAAGUGGAAUUCCUAGUGUAGCGGUGAAAUGCGUAGAUAUUCGGAGGAACACCAGUGGCGAAGGCGACUACCUGGACCGAUACUGACACUGAGGAGCGAAAGCGUGGGGAGC
rnacentral:rRNA from 1 species